UUUUGAUUAUUAUAUAGUGUUCUUUGUCUUUCUUUAUGGUCUUUGUUUUAAAGUCUUAUUUUGUCUGAUACGAGUAUUGCUACUCCCACUUUCUUGGUCAUUACCAGUUGCAUGAAAUAUCUUUUUCCAUUCUCUCACCUUGAAUCUGUGUUUGUCCUUCACCCUCAAGUGGGUCUCUUGUAGGCAGCAUAUUGUAGGCUUUAGUUGUAUUAUC